GAUAACUCCGGGAAACCGGGGCUAAUACCGGAUAACAUUUUGAACCGAUGCUGGUGGAGUCGAAAGCAUGGUUCGAAAUUUUAGGGCGGCUUCGGCUGUCACUUAUGGAUGGACCCGCGUCGCAUUAGCUAGUUGGUGAGGUAACGGCUCACCAAGGCAACGAUGCGUAGCCGACCUGAGAGGGUGAUCGGCCACACUGGGACUGAGACACGGCCCAGACUCCUACGGGAGGCAGCAGUAGGGAAUCUUCCGCAAUGGACGAAAGUCUGACGGAGCAACGCCGCGUGAGUGAUGAAGGCUUUCGGGUCGUAAAACUCUGUUGUUAGGGAAGAACAAGUGCUAGUUGAAUAAGCUGGCACCUUGACGGUACCUAACCAGAAAGCCACGGCUAACUACGUGCCAGCAGCCGCGGUAAUACGUAGGUGGCAAGCGUUAUCCGGAAUUAUUGGGCGUAAAGCGAUUGCAGGUGGUUUCUUAAGUCUGAUGUGAAAGCCCACGGCUCAACCGUGGAGGGUCAUUGGAAACUGGGAGACUUGAGUGCAGAAGAGGAAAGUGGAAUUCCAUGUGUAGCGGUGAAAUGCGUAGAGAUAUGGAGGAACACCAGUGGCGAAGGCGACUUUCUGGUCUGUAACUGACACUGAGGCGCGAAAGCGUGGGGAGCAAACAGGAUUAGAUACCCUGGUAGUUCACGCCGUAAACGAUGAGUGCUAAGUGUUAGAGGGUUUCCGCCCUUUAGUGCUGAAGUUAACGCAUUAAGCACUCCGCCUAGCGAGUACGGCCGCAAGGCUGAAACUCAAAGGAAUUGACGGGGGCCCGCACAAGCGGUGGAGCAUGUGGUUUAAUUUGAAGCAACGCGAAGAACCUUACCAGGUCUUGACAUCCUUUGACAACCCUAGAGAUAGGGCUUUUCCUUCGGGAGCAGAGUGACAGGUGGUGCAUGGUUGUUGUCAGCUCGUGUCGUGAGAUGUUGGGUUAAGUCCCGCAACGAGCGCAACCCUUGAUUUUAGUUGCCAUCAUUAAGUUGGGCACUUUAAGGUGACUAGUCGUGACAAACCGGAGGAAGGUGGGGAUGACGUCAAAUCAUCAUGCCCCUUAUGACCUGGGCUACACACGUGCUACAAUGGACGGUACAAAGAGCUGCAAGACCGCGAGGUGGAGCUAAUCUCAUAAAACCGUUUUCAGUUCGGAUUGUAGGCUGCAACUACAUGAAGCUGGAAUCGCUAGUAAUUUAGUCCGCGGAUCAGCAUGCCC
rnacentral:rRNA from 1 species